rnacentral:tRNA from 1 species
CGCUAAGAAGCUAAAAUGGAACUAGCGUUAGCCUUUUAAGCUAAAGAUUGGUGUCUACCACACACCCUUAACGA